rnacentral:lncRNA from 1 species
AAUUACGUAGGGCACACCCUGGAGUGAAAGGCGUGGGCUCACAACGUUAGGUUGAUGGAAGAGGAGACCAUAUUAGCAAGUAUGGACUGCAUUUUCAUCCGGUGCUGAAGCUUCAUCAUCAUAAGUCCUAUAUCUUCAGUCUCAUCUCCUCCAUCAUACUCCGAUGCUUCCACUGCUUCAGGCUCCACACAGCCCAAGUACGUGCGGUAAUCGUUAGCCCGAGCAAUGGUAGCGCCAGCAACCCUGGCGAUGCUUCCCCAGUACCUGUUGCUAGUCAGGCUCCGCUCUUG